AGGCAUAAAAGGAUUUAUUACAGCAAUGAUGAGAUAUUCCUUGUGCAACUAUCCUAUUUAUUACUUGGUUUGCGUUACACAAAACCGAGUCACUGGUUCAGAUCCAGAUUGAGAAUGAACAAAUUUGCUGUGACCACUCGUGUACCUGCGCAUGCGCGAUUCUGCCCAAUAUCCUUUCAGCUCUUCGUUUUAUGUCUAAAAAGCGUGUACCCAAUUUGGUUCCAAUCGGUGCAUCUGUUUAGACGGAAAUUCGAGAGUACAGACAGACCGAGAGGCACUCUGAGAUUACCGAGAUUUUGUUUGGUUCGGAUCCUGAUGCUUGUGUAUUUUUCGGAAUUAGAUUCUCUAUGCUUUUAGUUUCGAUUAUAUUGAUGACAAAUUAUAAAACAAAAGCAUAAAUAUACUCGAAAUUGAUCGUUUUUAUAGAAAAUAAACGAUAAUUUAAUAUAAUUCAAUAUAAAUAAAUAGGUUGCUUAAUUUGUGAAACUUUCUUGUUUUCACACAUAUAUGACCAUGACGUCAAACGGCUGUUUUAGUAGAUAAACAAUGUUGCUAAUUUUAAUGACCCAAAAACAAGACUUGGCAACAUAGUGCACGCCUUUUGUUUUUAUUUUAUCUCUCUCUGCAGUAAAAACUUAACCUUAACCUCACAAAAGUAGUAAUAAUUUAAUUUCUUUGUUAUUGUUUAUCACCUUAAUACUUAAUUCCCCACUAAUGUUUAAACAAAAUAAUCCAUCCACCCUCGUGGAUAUAAACGGCGAGCCCACUUCUGUAGGUGAUUGGAAACGUGAAAAAGAGUUGGGCUCCGGUGGUUUUGGUGUUGUACAUCUCUGGCUGAACAAAACUACCGGAGACUCCUUAGCAAUAAAAAAAUGCAAAUGGAAUCUAGAGUCCCAUUUAACCGAAAAGCAACGCGAACGAUGGAAGGCCGAAGUCGGUAUAAUGGAGGGCAUUCGAAAUGAGAACAUUGUGGCCUAUUGUAAGAUGCCGGAAGACUUACAAAGGGGCUUGAGUUAUUACAGUUCGCAACUUCCGUUGUUGUCGAUGGAGUAUUGCCGUCUUGGUAAUCUCCGCUCUGUUUUGGUCAAGCCUGAGAAUUGCUGUGGGUUGAGGGAAAUGGAGAUUUUGUGUAUUAUUAGCGAUUUAGUUAAUGCUUUGAAGUACUUGCACAAACUUAACGUGAUACAUCGCGAUAUUAAGCCUGAAAAUGUUGUCUUGCAGUUGUGCGACACUAGGCCACGCGGUGUAAUUUACAAGUUAAUCGAUUUGGGAUAUGCGAAGGAGAUCGACAGUGAAACGGCAAGUUUUGUAGGAACCUUACAGUAUUUGGCGCCCGAAAUUUUCAUUAAGCAGAAGUGCACAAAGACGGUUGACUAUUGGUCACUUGGGAUUGUUAUAUUCGAGAUUAUUUGUGGGAUACGGCCAUUUUUGCACACCUUCACUCCAUGGCAAAGUCUUGCCCAUUUGGAGAAGAAACCGUCCGAUGUGAUUGCAAUUCAGUUGACCUAUAAUGGGCGAAUGGAGUUCUUCACGCAGUUAUUUAAAGAAAACCAUAUAAACAUGUGUUUGGCGCACUUAAUCGAAAAGUGGUUGCAGAUUGCGCUGGAAUUUAGCCCCGAUCUUCGCGGUUCCUACAACCAUUGCGAUUAUAUUUUUGCAGUUCUUGAAGAGAUUUUGUUGAAGAAGAUUAUUAUGGUCUACUCUGUUUAUACGUGCGAAUUUCUCAGCUAUGAAAUAAACGAAUCAACAUUAUUGUCGACGGUUCAAGGUUGGAUUGGACGGGAUACAAAGAUUCCCAUAAUGGAUCAGUGUAUAGCAGCAACCCAACAUUCUGAUAGUAUUUAUGCUAUAGGGUACUACAAUAAGGAAAGUCCCAUUACGCUGUUCGUGUUCAAUAGGUGCGCCCCCUUCGCUUCUAUAACAACGCAGCUACCCGCACUAAUUAAAAUACUUUUCGAAAACUGCAAGACUGAAUUCAAGUUUGGUACAAUAAAGCAGCUAUACGCGCAUACAGCAUUCUUCGUCCUAAGAGAAAUGAGGCUCGUUUCCGGUCUCAAAUUCGCAAUAACCUCUCAGUUUAAUUGUCUACAAACCAUUUUUGAUAAAUGUAAUUUACAAUACGCCCAAUUAAGGGAAGUUUUGAAGAAAUUUCUAUGCGAAGUAGAAGUAUACAAUUAUCAGGACCUCUCACUCUCUGCUAAGGUAUACGAGGACACCAAUUAUAGUCAAAUUUUGGAACAAUUCGAUGGGCAAAUGCGACGAUUCGCCCAGGUGGUCGAGAUUUUUAAUAAAAUCGUACUGAGGCGCGAGGCCUUGCUGGAGAAGUUUAAACGGGUCGAAGCCGCCAACAGAGUCGCGUUUCGGGCAUUUCACCUUGACAAAUUUGAAUCGCUCGUACAAGGAGCGUGUGAUGAUGUCAACGCAAUAAAUAUGUAUAAUCCAUCGAGUUUGACUGGCGGUUCAAAGAUUUUUAAAAUCGUUUCUGAUACCCUAAAACUUAAAGAUCUUUUGUUACGUGACAGCUUUUUGGUCUCUUACUUGAGAUGUGUAAGCUACUGCUGGAAAGAGCUGGAAAAGUUGAAUUCGUGCAUGGCAGGUCUUGGUACUACCACACCACAACUUACUCUAGAUCUAAGGCAGUUGCAAGCGGAGAAACUUAGUUCGCUUAGUGAUAUGCACAGAAAGAAAGCGAAUCGCACGCAGGCUGCUUUUAAUGGCGUCAACGUAUUGGAGGAAAAUGUAGCGAUUCGAUAUAGGUAAAUUUAACAAAAAGACUUUAAUUGUGGAUUGAAUGAACUCAAUCCUUUUUCCAUUUCAGGAGUUAAUGGAUGCCAAAUUUCGCCGUAUUUCAGAGUGCCUUUAAGGAGAAUUCAAGACUGACUGCUGUGAUUUAAGCAAACAAGUUUUACACUAAUGUGUGCUGUGAUCGUUUCUAUUUAACCCACAUCAAUAUCCUCCAUAUGGGUGCCAUUGAAGGGUGGUGAUACUAUUGUGUCAUAUUGUUAUAGUUAAAAUAUUGUAAUAGCAAUAGUUAGUAUAAGUAUAAAAUGUUAUACCUAUUCAAAGGUACAGGUAUAAAGUCUUUACUAUGUUAUGUUGGUUUGUUUGUAUAACAAUGGAUGUUACUGGAAAUUAUUAUUGUUAUACUGAUUUAGAAAUAUAUUAUUUUGUGAAAAAAUAUACUCACCAUUAGAGCUCUA